CGUGUAUCGUGAAUUUGCGCCGGAUUAAUUGCUGCGACAGCGUAAGGUUCUUGAGCUGGGAUUGACGAGGGUGUGUAUUGAAUUUGGUUGCAGUUGGGAACAUACCCUACGAUGCGACGGAGGAGCAGCUCGUGCAGAUAUGCGAGGAAGUCGGACCCGUUGUCUCCUUCAGACUGGUUGUUGAUAAAGAAACUGGAAAGCCCAAGGGUUAUGGAUUUUGUGAGUACAAGGAUGAAGAGACAGCUCUAGGUGCACGCCGGAACCUUCAAGGUUGUGAAGUUAAUGGCCGUCAGUUACGUGUUGAUUUCGCAGAAAAUGGGAGGAGCAAUGAAAGAAAUAGAGAAAAGGUCGAAGAUCCUCAGUUCAUUACUGUAGAAGAGCCUUAUUUCUCACCUUGCAAGCCCUACGUUAAGCUGGAAUAUAGUUGAUUGGUUGAUCCAGUGGUUAACACGAGAACUCAAUAUUUAUGCUAAAUUAUCUUGAGAUCACAGUGAAAUGGUCUUUGCAUGAUGUAAUUCUGCGUAUUGAAAAUUAAGUAGCUUCUGUAUGGAAAAUUUUGUUAGUGCAAUCUAUAUUUGAUUCAUGCAUGAGCAGUGCGGAAUCUUAACCAGUUGAAGUUAACAAUAAGAAGCAGCUAUUGACUUAUUCUUGAUAUGUUUAUGCAUUUCAGGGUCGUGGAGGACCAGGAAUGGCAUCUAGCGCUGAUGCUCAGAAACAAUCAACUGCAGCUCCCGUUGUAGGAGACACUAGCCUUCAUCAGCUUGUUGGUCUUGCACCGGCAAUACACGCUGCAUCUGUGAUGGCUGGUGUUCUUGGGGGAGCUCAAACUGCAAAUGUGCAAAAUGGUCUACCCGUCCAAUUUGGGCUUGGAAAUGACCCUCUUACCCAUUACCCGUGAAUAUUGUGUGUUUGUCUUUCUGUCUCCUGCUUUG